UGCUCGUUACCAGGGCUUUUAGAAUACAGCUUCUCAUUCGCUGUGGACGUGACUACAAAAUGUUUUCCAACUAGGUUUUCUUUCUACUACAUUGGAAGCAUUCAGCUUAUUGGGAACAUUU